rnacentral:rRNA from 1 species
UAGUGGCGAACGGGUGAGUAACACGUGGGCAAUCUGCCCUGCACUCUGGGACAAGCCCUGGAAACGGGGUCUAAUACCGGAUAACACUGUCCCCCUCCUGGGGGACGGUUGAAAGCUCCGGCGGUGCAGGAUGAGCCCGCGGCCUAUCAGCUUGUUGGUGGGGUAAUGGCCUACCAAGGCGACGACGGGUAGCCGGCCUGAGAGGGCGACCGGCCACACUGGGACUGAGACACGGCCCAGACUCCUACGGGAGGCAGCAGUGGGGAAUAUUGCACAAUGGGCGAAAGCCUGAUGCAGCGACGCCGCGUGAGGGAUGACGGCCUUCGGGUUGUAAACCUCUUUCAGCAGGGAAGAAGCGAAAGUGACGGUACCUGCAGAAGAAGCGCCGGCUAACUACGUGCCAGCAGCCGCGGUAAUACGUAGGGCGCAAGCCGUUGUCCGGAAUUAUUGGGCGUAAAGAGCUCGUAGGCGGUCUGUCACGUCNGGGUGUGAA